CAUUUUCUCUGUCGUCGUCUGAGCGGAGCAGAAUGUGAGGCUAUGAAUCUCUUACUACUCUCCCAAUACUCUCUGCAUUCUCCUCUUGCCUGGCAGUAUAUAUGUACUUUGUAAGUUGCUUUUACAUAUUUGACACUUAAAUUAACAAAGAGUUAUGGAUGAUAUACUCUUGUUCUGCUAAAUUAUAAUUUAGGAGAUAACCUCGUACAUUUUGUUUUCUUGUAAGGAUUAGUUAUACAAUAAAGAUUAUAGUUACUUGACUUGCUAUGGAUGUCCCUGUUGGCGCCGCAUCCUCGCGUUGCAGCGCCGCUCUUCUUCUUCCUCUAUCUCACACAACUCAACUCUCUCUUCUCUGUUGCUUUGUUCUUCUCUCAAGAACACACGAACGCACACGGUGGGAAAAACUCAUAAACUCACACACACACACACGCACGCAUAUAUCAGGGAAGAACACAUAGCUUUGCCAAGUGACUCUCCCUUGGCUACCACGAAGGCUACAUUUUGCCACUGCCCUCUCAGCCUCAUUUCUCAUUCCUUUUCUUGACUUAUAUAGCAGUACAAGAGACUCAUGUGCGCACGACGCUAGCCACCAACAUCAUGACCUGCCCACUAACUAAUUCCUAGCUACAUGCAUGCCCACAACCAGCACUUGCGCAACCUCCAACGGCCACAAAUUCUGGCCAUGCACUCAGGACUCAACAACCACUAAGACCUUUUCUCUAGGCCACUAACAAACUCCACGACUUGGCUAAUCCUGCAUGCACUAACCAACACUACUAGCUUUCCAUGCAAACGUGAUCACGUCUCUACGUUGGUACACAGCCGCAGCUUUUAGUGUCACAUCUCAACUACAUGCAUGACUCAUCAAUAACAAGAUUAGUUCUAACAUUCACUUCUCUAAUCUUGUUAGCUUAUUUCUCUCUUGAAGCACGUGGUCGUUAAUGUCGUCGGUGCAACACCGAGAUGGCCGCCAAUGCCAUCUUGUCACACCGAUUGCCGCCGUCGCCGCGAGCUUCAGCGAGAGCCGCACCUCGUGCGCCUUCACCACGAGCGCACCGCCGUACGUGGCACGCUCGCUGCCGCAUGUUUGCCACCGGUGCCGCAACUCACCGGUGACUCAUCUCCAUGUUGUCGACGAUGACACACCUUAUCGAAGACUCGGACAUGGAACUUCUUAUGGCGAUGGCAUCCACACAUGACCAUCACCACCUUGCUGCCGGUGACACAACUUACCGGGCAGCACCUCCUUGCUGCCGGUGACACAACUUACCGGGCAGCACCUCCUUGCUUUGUAUUUUUCUAGGAAAUUGUUCUGUUGGCAUUCUACCUAGAUUUUGAUUAUUGUCUCUUCAACACUUCCAUAAUUAUUAUAUGAAACUUCAUAUAGCACAAACAUACUCACUAUAUCCAUCUACUAUGUAUAAUUCCAAUAUUGUAAGUCUUGUUUGUGAUUAUUACCAUAUAAUCAUAUAUACAAAUGAAAGCAGUUUUAGAAUGUAGUAAUAUGCAUUUGUGAUUAGUCUCUUUGCUUCUAUAGAGAGUCUGCAUGUGGAGGCGAGCUAUGGGCUUCCUCAUUGUUGGUGUUGUCGGCUUCCAGCUAUGUAAGGUGCUACGGAUUUGAAUCAUUCCUACUUCCUCCAUAGCGGCUGAUUGUCUACAGGUAUUUUUAUUUCUUGUUACCAUAUAUUAGCAAGUUAUAUUACUUAUAUGUGUAUUAAGUCCAAGAAAGACGGCUUACAUGUACUAACUGAAAUAUGGGUUCAUGCAAUGGAUUUUUCACAUGUGCUGGCUAUAUGUGGGAGCUAGCUUUCCUCAUGGUUCUGUUGACCUGAAAAAACCGUGGGAGAGGUGAACUGUUACGAGGAACAUAAAACUCAUGAAAGUGCAUGUCCCAAUGUAUUUAAAUAAAUACAAUGUGGCAUGCGUCUAAUAGUGCUUAUGUUACUACUGUUAUCACAGUUUUGGCCUAGUUUUCUGCUGAUUAACUUGGCAAUUCUCUUCUGCUUGAUUAAUUGAUUGAGGCCUUUGGCCUCCGCUUUCGAAAAUAAAUAAAUAUACCACUGUUAUCUAAUAAGUCUUCCUUAUAUUAAUGGAUGCCAAGUAUUCCUACUCUAUAUAAGUAAAUACAAAUAGUAUGUCUUCCUACUUACUUUCAACAAUUAAGAUAUAAUCUUCCGCGCUUCUUCAGAUUUCACAUCCAAUGAGUUCAUCAAGUUCAAGACAAAUGUAUUAAGAUUCUUUUAUCACCCUCAUUAAAGAAAUUGCAGCUUGUAGUAGUUGUACAACCACUAAUUUGGAGUUGAAUACUAAGCCUACGAUACAAUUAUAUUUUGUGCAAAAAACUAUCACCACAUGGCAUAUACCAACAUCAAAUAUAUUUUUGUAACAUAUCUAUUGUAGAUAUUGGCACGGAUGCAAAAUCCUGAGUAAGUUACGCAAAAAAUUAAAGUUAGCAAUCUGAAGAAGUUCAGACACAUUACUAAGUCGAAUAUGGCUCCAUAAGGUUAUAACCUCUGUUUUUAAGGCGUCCGUAAGGCGUCGCUUAGGCGACGCCUAGGCGUCAGGGCGCCCUCCAGGCUCAGGGCGUCGGCCUUGCCUUAGACAGUCGUGUAAGGCGUCCGCCUUAGGCUGUAAGGCGUCUGAAGCGUCCGCCUUAGCGCCGCCUUGCACGCCUCAGACCAAAUCGGACGCCUUAGCUUGUCAGGCAGGGAAACAGAGAUUGCAGGCGGGAAAACUGACCUGGGCGGGAACACAGGCAUGGGAAACAUUGGUUCAGGUGCGACCAGUUAUGGGAAGGGGAAAGAGAGAGUGAAUCGACGCGAGAGGUCUCUCCUGUCUCCUCUCUGGACCAUUGACGGAGGCUUCCUCCUCAGAUCUGCGGCAGCCGCCAGCCUCCUCCCUCCGGCCACAGUUCCUCCCCCUCCUCUCUGGCUGCAGCUCCUCCCCAUCCUCCUCUGGCGCAACCCUCUUCCAGCAGAUCAGCACCACAUCAAGGUAUGAAUUCAGCCCUCUCUUCUCCCCCCUUUCCCCCUCUCCUCUUUCUUCCAUCCAGCAGUGUAGCUUGCCAUGCUUGCCUGCUCUGUUAUGCACAGCUCCUCUACUAACUGUUAGGUGCUGCCUCUCUUAUGCACAGCAGUGUAGCUAGAUGUGCUUGCCCGCUCCUCAUCUGCAUCUGUUUCUUCCCAGAUCUGCUUCUCCACCCACAAGGCAGCAGCCCCACCACUGCUUCUCUCCUUCCCCAUGCUUGAUCUGGCUGCUCUAGUGAUUUGGCUCUUCUCUCUUUUUCUUUGACAGUAGCCAGGUGUACCUGCUCUGAUGGAUCUAGCCAAUGAUCCUAGGAGAAGAGCUACAUCAGAUGAUCCAGCCUGGAAGUAUGGGUUCUGGCCAGAUUUAGAGAGGAAAGAUUUACUCCAGUGUACAUUGUGUGGCAAGAUAGUCCAUGGUGGAGUGAGAAGGCUAAAGCAGCACUUUUCUGGGGGUUCCAGUGAUGCGGAUAAGUGUCCCGAGGCAUCCAUGGAGAUUAGGAUAGAGAUGCACAAUUCCUUAAACACUAGAAAGUUUAAAGCUAUGGAGCGAUAUAUUGAUGAGGAGGAUGAAGCUGAACUUCAAAGGCGCCGUUCUGUCAUAUACACAAGAUGAUUUGAGGCCUAUGCUUUGGUAACAGUUUAUAUGUUAAUGUUAGUUGUUAAAUCUCCUAAUUGGUGGCCAUCUAUUAUAUAUGUAUGUACAAUUUAUUAAGUUAAUGCUAGUUGUUAAAUCUCCUAAUUGGCUGCCAUAUAUUAUAUAUGCACGUGUCUAAGGCGUCGCCUCGCCUUACGCUUUAGCGCUUAGGCGGUGAGGCGCCCCCCCCCCCCCAGCGCCUCGCCUCGCCUUACCGCCUUAAAAACAUAGGUUAUAACUGAUAUAACUCAAUUGUUCGUACAGGUCUUAGAGUCUUGUUGUUCUCGAAAAGUGGUGAUAUCAUAUCUUAGAAGAAGUCUGAUGCCUUACCUGAUUUGCUUGGUUUCCAUGCGCCAUUCCAGUAAGUUCGUUAAAACAUUUGUUCUUCUGGUGUACCUUGCAUACUUCUAUCUAUCUCGGUCAUUUUUGGCGAAGUUUCUUCUGCUGAGUGUCUCCAUAUAUGGAGUUAGUCAAGUAUAACUAUUAGUUUACAUUGGUUAAUAAAAAUGAGCCAUGCUUCAUUAGUUCAUAAAUAAUAAAAGAUAGUGUUCCAUACCUGCUAAGAAGUUUGUGAGUUGCAGAUAUAUCUAGAUCUGUAUAUACUUGCAGCAGUGGUUGACUUUGGGCAAUAUCCUAUUUAACCAUGAAAAACUUUUUAAAAAGUAACAGAAGAUGUUGUGACUUUAUUGGACUUACUGCUAAACUCCACCAUUGUGGAUGUCACAAUAAGGAUAGUUUGGCUGUCGACUACAUCCUCAUUCAAAAGAUAAGUAGAAUUUCCCCAUAGUGUAACUCUGAGUUUAUCACUCAUGAAGAGUUUAAGCUGGAAAAGAUAAUGUUAAUGCAAUGAUGGAAGUCAAAUUAAAGUCUUUGUUAUUAUACACUUACUCUGUCAACGUCGCCUAAAUAGUUCAUCUCCCAUACACCCAAUUCUCUCAACAUGCAGCCUUCCACAUCACCAAUAUGCCAAAUCAGCAUUUUUAUUUUUAUUCUUCUAUUUUUUGUGCAGACCUAUCGUCUUGAUUCCACAUGCUUCAUUUGGGCGAGUAGUCCAAAACGGCAUGUGUAAAACUGGUGAUUAAUUACUCCAUAGCUAGAAAGAUUAGUUAUUUGAGUCUUAUUUGGAACUAUAUAGUAUAGGUAAACCUGAGCAUUGCUUAUCUUUCCCGGCAUGUUCUUGUACAGUUUCCUUGGAAGCAAACUCGAAGUAGUAAUCAGGAAAACAUUCUGAUGAUCCUUACCUUUGUAUUUCAUUGGUCGAAUGGUGAUACUUUGUUGCUUUCACAACUUUAAAAUUGUAAAUGCAUAAACAUAAUUAUCUUUUAUCUUUGAUCAACAAUUGUGUAUCAACCUCCUCCACAUUUAUAGUAUCAUGAUCUUUUAGGGUCACAGUAAAAUGCAUUGCUUGGCCCUGUCAAACAUUUACAAUAUAUUAGCACUUGUGGUUCAAAACAAUAGAACAAUCAGCAUGUAAAUAUAUACUCCCUCUGUUCCUAAAUAUAAUACCUUCUAGAUAUUCUAAUAUCUUCUACAUACGGAGCAAAAGGAGUGAAUCUACACUCUAAAAUAUGUCUAUAUACAUCCGUAUGUAGUCCGUAUUGAAAUAUCUAAAAGGAUUAUACUUAGAAACGGGGGGAGUAAAUAUAUAAACAUUUUCAUCCAUCGAAGCUCAUAUGCUCAUCAGUCGGAGGAUUGAUUGAAUAUAUAUUCUCGUACUUUCACUUGAGUGUCGUUUGUCCUAUCAUUGUUAAGGCACUAAGAUUCUUACACGCCAUGGUGCUUUGGCUGCAAAACCGUUUGAAAAUUGUUUGUCAAUUGAUAAUAUCUCAUAGAUUUUAUCCUCAUUAAGUGAAUUCACUAAAUAAUAUUUAUGAACCUUGAUUAUUCAGCAGAGGCAGCAACUCAGAAGGUUUGCCUGGCAUCGUGACAUCUGUCAUAGUUUUGGCUGAUUUGCGUUGCAUCGUUUGUUUCAUCAUGGCGGCAACUCAGAAGGUUUGGCUGGCGUUGAGACAUGUUCUGUCACAGUUUUGGCUGAUUUGUGUCGCAUUGUUUGUUUCAUCACGGCAUCGGCAGAUUUCUAUAUUGUAGGUGGUCUGUUUGUCGGGCAGAUUUUGCUUCCUGGAUCUCUCGCAAAAAGCAGCCCUAUAUCUAUGGAGCGAACUUCUGGAUGUACUUUGUCCAUCAUGAUGCUCUCCAGCACAGUCCGGUCCUACCCUGAUUGCAUCCAUUGCACUUUGGUGUGGUGUUUGCCAUGCUCUCGGAUGCCGUCCAAUCACGCCCUUUUUGCAUCCAUCACACUUUGUCAUGGUGUUUAGUCUCACGUGGAGCAUGAUAUGGAUCGUGCCAGAUCUCACUUGUGUUGUAGUACAUGGAAAAAAAGUUUUGCCUUCUUGGGCGUUGUGACGCCUCGAGACCGUUGCGCCAGGUGUCUCCCAGUUGUUCGUUGUUGUUGCCUUGUCUUUUGCUUGCGUGUCGCAUCUUGUCAUGUCAUCAUCCGCAUUGCAUCAUCAUGUUUUUAAAACUUGAAUUCGUUCGGGUUCCCAGUUUCGUCCGUUGUCCGUUCUGAG
rnacentral:lncRNA from 1 species